ACGCUCGACACCUACGGGAGGCAGCAGUUAGGAAUAUUGGGCAAUGGAGGAAACUCUGACCCAGCAACGCCGCGUGAAGGAAGAAGGUUUUCGGAUUGUAAACUUCUGAUCUAGGGGAAGAAGGAAGUGACGGUACCCUAGGAGAAAGCCACGGCUAACUACGUGCUAGCAGCCGCGGUAAUCUGAGCGGGCUGGCAAGGC
rnacentral:rRNA from 1 species